GCUUAACACAUGCAAGUCGAACGGAGUUUACUGUGAUGAUUUCUUCGGAAUUGAUAAUGGUAAACUUAGUGGCGACGGGUGAGUAACGCGUGGGUAACCUGCCUCACACUGGGGGACAACAGUUGGAAACGACUGCUAAUACCGCAUUAAGCGCACAGCUUCGCAUGAAGCAGUGUGAAAAACUCCGGUGGUGUGAGAUGGACCCGCGUCUGAUUAGAUAGUUGGUGAGGUAACGGCCCACCAAGUCAACGAUCAGUAGCCGAACUGAGAGGUUGAUCGGCCACAUUGGGACUGAGACACGGCCCAAACUCCUACGGGAGGCAGCAGUAGGGAAUCUUCCACAAUGGACGAAAGUCUGAUGGAGCAACGCCGCGUGAAUGAAGAAGGCCUUCGGGUCGUAAAAUUCUGUUGUCAGAGAAGAACGUGCGUGAGAGUAACUGUUCACGUAUUGACGGUAUCUGACCAGAAAGCCACGGCUAACUACGUG
rnacentral:rRNA from 1 species